AUUGAACGCUGGCGGCAGGCUUAACACAUGCAAGUCGAGCGGGGGAAGGUAGCUUGCUACUGGGCCUAGCGGCGGACGGGUGAGUAAUGCUUAGGAAUCUGCCUAUUAGUGGGGGACAACAUCUCGAAAGGGAUGCUAAUACCGCAUACGUCCUACGGGAGAAAGCAGGGGAUCUUCGGACCUUGCGCUAAUAGAUGAGCCUCAGUCGGAUUAACUAGUUGGUGGGGUAAAGGACUACCAAGGCGACGAUCUGUAGCGGGUCUGAGAGGAUGAUCCGCCACACUGGGACUGAGACACGGCCCAGACUCCUACGGGAGGCAGCAGUGGGGAAUAUUGGACAAUGGGGGGAACCCUGAUCCAGCCAUGCCGCGUGUGUGAAGAAGGCCUUAUGGUUGUAAAGCACUUUAAGCGAGGAGGAGGCUACUUUAGUUAAUACCUAGAGAUAGUGGACGUUACUCGCAGAAUAAGCACCGGCUAACUCUGUGCCAGCAGCAGCCGCCG
rnacentral:rRNA from 1 species